AGCAUUCUGGUGCUUAACACAGGCUGUUUUUACCUGACUGUAUAGAAAAAGGAAACCACCCCAUAUUCGCCACUGUGCCCUGUGCCUGUAUUGUGCCUGGUCUGUAUUGUGAAGGGGGAGCAUGG